ACGAACGCUGGCGGCGUGUCUAAUACAUGCAAGUCGAACGAGCUCUCCCAAAUUGAUUUUAUGCUUGCAUAAAUGAUUUUUGGAUUCGGAGCGAGUGGCGAACUGGUGAGUAACACGUGGGUAACCUGCCCCGAAGCGGGGGAUAACAUUUGGAAACAAGUGCUAAUACCGCAUAAUUAGUUGGAACCGCAUGGUUCCAACUUGAAAGAUGGCUCUGCUAUCACUUUGGGAUGGACCCGCGCCGUAUUAGUUAGUUGGUGAGAUAAAAGCCCACCAAGACGAUGAUACGUAGCCGACCUGAGAGGGUAAUCGGCCACAUUGGGACUGAGACACGGCCCAGACUCCUACGGGAGGCAGCAGUAGGGAAUCUUCCACAAUGGACGAAAGUCUGAUGGAGCAACGCCGCGUGAGUGAUGAAGGUUUUCGGAUCGUAAAACUCUGUUGUUAAAGAAGAACAAGUGUUAGAGUAACUGUUAACACUUUGACGGUAUUUAACCAGAAAGCCACGGCUAACUACGUGCCAGCAGCCGCGGUAAUACGUAGGUGGCAAGCGUUGUCCGGAUUUAUUGGGCGUAAAGCGAGCGCAGGCGGUUUUGUAAGUCUGCUGUGAAAGCCCUCAGCUCAACUGAGGAAAGUGCAGUGGAAACUACAAAACUUGAGUACAGAAGAGGAAAGUGGAACUCCAUGUGUAGCGGUGAAAUGCGUAGAUAUAUGGAAGAACACCAGUGGCGAAGGCGGCUUUCUGGUCUGUUACUGACGCUGAGGCUCGAAAGCAUGGGUAGCGAACAGGAUUAGAUACCCUGGUAGUCCAUGCCGUAAACGAUGAAUACUAGGUGUUGGAGGGUUUCCGCCCUUCAGUGCCGCAGCUAACGCAUUAAGUAUUCCGCCUGGGGAGUACGACCGCAAGGUUGAAACUCAAAGGAAUUGACGGGGGCCCGCACAAGUGGUGGAGCAUGUGGUUUAAUUCGAUGCUACGCGAAGAACCUUACCAGCUCUUGACAUCUUCUGCCAACCCAAGAGAUUGGGCGUUCCCUUCGGGGACAGAAUGACAGGUGGUGCAUGGUUGUCGUCAGCUCGUGUCGUGAGAUGUUGGGUUAAGUCCCGCAACGAGCGCAACCCUUAUUAUUAGUUGCCAGCAUUUAGUUGGGCACUCUAGUGAGACUGCCGGUGAUAAACCGGAGGAAGGUGGGGACGACGUCAAAUCAUCAUGCCCCUUAUGAGCUGGGCUACACACGUGCUACAAUGGAUGGUACAACGAGUCGCGAAACCGCGAGGUCAAGCUAAUCUCUUAAAGCCAUUCUCAGUUCGGAUUGCAGGCUGCAACUCGCCUGCAUGAAGUUGGAAUCACUAGUAAUCGUGGAUCAGCAUGCCACGGUGAAUACGUUCCCGGGCCUUGUACACACCGCCCGUCA
rnacentral:rRNA from 1 species